rnacentral:rRNA from 1 species
AUUGAACGCUGGCGGCAGGCCUAACACAUGCAAGUCGAACGAGUGGCGGACGGGUGAGUAAUGUCUGGGAAACUGCCCGAUGGAGGGGGAUAACUACUGGAAACGGUAGCUAAUACCGCAUACCAUCGGAUGUGCCCAGAUGGGAUUAGCUAGUAGGUGGGGUAAAGGGGCAACUAGGCGACGAUCCCUAGCUGGUCUGAGAGGAGGACCAGCCACACUGGAACUGAGACACGGUCCAGACACCGACGGGAGGCAGCAGUGGGGAAGAUUGCACAAUGGGCGCAAGCCUGAUGCAGCUAUGCCGCGUGUAUGAAGAAGGCCUGCGGGUUGUAAAGUACUUUCAGCGGGGAGGCGUUACCCGCAGAAGAAGCACCGGCUAACUCCGUGCCAGCCGCCGCGGUAAUAC